UACGGGGGGGGCAAGCGUUGUUCGGAAUUACUGGGCGUAAAGGGCUCGUAGGCGGCCAACUAAGUCAGACGUGAAAUCCCUCGGCUUAACCGGGGAACUGCGUCUGAUACUGGAUGGCUCGAGUUUGGGAGAGGGAUGCGGAAUUCCGAGGUGUAGCGGUGAAAUGCGUAGAUAUCUGGAGGAACACCGGUGGCGAAGGCGGCAUCCUGGACCAACACUGACGCUGAUGAGCGAAAGCCAGGGGAGCAAACGGG
rnacentral:rRNA from 1 species